GUCGGUAAAACUCGUGCCAGCCACCGCGGUUAAACGAGAGGCUCAAGCUGAUAGACAACGGCGUAAAGCGUGGUUAAGGAAAUACAAUCAAACUAAAGCCGAACGUUUUCAGGGCCGUGGCAGGCUUUACGAAAUUCUGAAGACCAACAACGAAGGUAGCUUUAACACCCCCGAACCCACGAAAGCUAAGAAACAAACUGGGAUUAGAUACCCCACUAUG
rnacentral:rRNA from 1 species